AGAAUGCUUGGAACUAUUUAGUAAACAUAAGAUUUAGAAGUUGGGCUAGGUUGCAUAUAACAAUGCAUGUCUUUGUGUGAUGAAUGUUUAUGAAUUGACCUAAUAUUUUAUUUAGUACAUUAUUAAUAAUCUUAUAUUAGUAUGAUUUUGGCUUGCAUUGACAUUUAUCUUGGAGAUACUAGACGAUCAACGUGCAUACUAAUUUAAAUUAUAUUAAGUAUAUAAUUCUAUCGUACUUGAAAUAAAUUAUAUGAUAUAUCUAUUUAUUUCACGCUCAUUAUUUUUAUAACUUGUGUUUUUAUCAUAAUUAAACCAAGACUUUUCCUAGAAAAUAUUCAUUUUUUAUUAAGUAAAUAUUAUUUUAUCUAACUCAACUAAUAGCUAUCCAAUAAUUAAUUAGGACAUUUGACCCACAUGUGAAUUCAAUAUGACGAGCUUCAAAUUGUUUUAUUAGCAUAAAUCCAUCUAUGAUUCCCUAGAGGGGAUUUUGGAAAUUUCCCCAUUUGAAAACAAUCAUAUAGUAGUUGAUUAAUUGUCCAACAAUUAUCUUUUGUUUCUACAAUUUUAUUAUAGCUAAAGUAAUUAUUCUAUAUAUUAUUUCUUGCUUAUCCCUUCAUUCAUGUGUUGAGGUUAGUUUUCUUUUGAUUAAUUAUUAUGUUUUAGCUUCGGAAAUCUUAUUAAUAUGUGUAAACGUGUAUUUAUAUCGUUCAUAUAAAGUGUAUAUUCAUGCUUACAUUAUCUAAUGCUCUUAGAAAUAUGAUUUCCCACUUAAUAACUUAUAGUAAUUUUCAAUAAGAGGAAAACUUUUGAAUUAUUAAAUGUCCAGUCAUCGAAUGAAACUAUACAUGAAAAUCUAGAAGCGAGGACAUCUUGAAUUUUCAUCGUUAUUUUAAUUAUGAUUGGAUAAUUUCCACUAAAGAUUCAAUGCACGGGUUUAAUUAUUUUCAUUCUUGAUUUGGAAUUAAGAAUAUAAUUUUUUGUUCGUUUGAACAAUAUGUAGUUAAUACAUCUCAAUUAGGAGUGAUUAUGGAGUUGCUCAAUAUUUUCACGUGAAGGGUAUAUUUCGUGUAAUUAACUAAUAAAGAAAAUGAGUUUAGUUUACCCAAUCACCAUUCUACCAAUAACUACAAUUUAAUCAUAUAGCAUCCAUACGGGACAAAAUAAUGCAUUUAGAUAAGUUUAGUUUUUGAUGGUUCGUGGCACUUUUUACUUAGUUUUAAGGGAUAAUUGCAGCAAAAUUUUAAAGUUUUAAAAUAUUAGUAAACUUUUUUCAAAUAUUUCAUUUGUUGUAGGCGUCAUUUUUAAACCUUUCAACAAUUGCAUGUAAGGUCCUUUUGGAUGGUUUCCAUCCACAGUUAACUACUAAAAUUAAGUUUGACCAUAUUUAAAUCAAUUAAAAGAUGACAAAAUGGUAAGUAUCUAUUCAAUAAUUAAAUAAAACGAUAAUUGAAUAAAAAGUUAGAGCCUGUUUGGGAGUGAUUUUGAGAAUUGAUUUUUUUGACUGUUAGGAAAAAAAUGAGGUUCACCUGUGAAAAAAGAAGUCAAAUAUGACGGCUGAAAUAAUGAAAUAACGAUCAAAAAAUCAAAUUUUGGAGAAAAAAUCACUACUAAACAUGCUCUUAAAACAAAAGAGAAGAUCAGUGGUGCCAAAGAAAAGAAAAGAUCAAUCAUAGGUCGAUGUCAUCUCCACCGCAAAUCGCGACAACUCCACUCCUCAUCUACCUCCUAAAAAUUACAGUCUCCUCCAUGGACUUGGAUGGGGAAAUGAGUCACCAAACUGAGAAGCCUAUUCUUGGCUGAGGAAAUACCUAUAGAUAAUCUAAAUACAUGAGCAAUUUAGAAGAUUAGACCAAGAAAUAUAAUCAUUUGAAAAAUAGCCUUUGAACAAUAUUUUUUUCCAAAAAUACCCCUUAUAGAGAAUUUGCAACCAAAGUCACUACAAUGUAUAAGAACCUUCAAUUAGGUCCUCAGAGAAAUAUAGAUCAUAAAUCUUUAAUAAAUUUAAACCCAAAUAUUAUACAAAAUUUUAUUGAUCUAAGAAAUGCAACAAAUAAUG
rnacentral:lncRNA from 1 species